GCUGCCUCUGCCUGCUUACUCGGUUGUGGAGAACCCUUCCUCCAUCAAACUGACUACAACAUACACUCGCCGGGGCCAUGGGACAUGCACGAGCCCAGGUUGUUCUUUUACCUACGUCACCAGGCACAAACCACCUAAGUGCCCUACUUGUGGUAACUUCCUAGGUGGGAAGUGGAUCCCAAAGGUAAGGUCUGUUCCAUUACCCCAGAACAGAUGUUUUGUUUUUAAAUUAACACGGGCUUGUUUUAAACCUUUAACAUGUCUAUGAUGUGUAUGGGAGUAUGUGUGUGCUCGUUUGAGUGAGUACAAGUACAUGCAUUCAGUGUUACACAUAGGAGAUCAGAAGACACCCCUGGGUGUUGGCCAGUGCUUUUCACUGUUUGAGGCAGGAUCUCUUUUGUUGUCCAC
rnacentral:lncRNA from 1 species